rnacentral:snoRNA from 1 species
ACCUCCUACAAAGGCGCAGUUGCAUUGGCCCGCUUGCGAAUGCGUAAGAACUGGAGGAAUAGAAAAUGAAUGGUGUGUUUCAUCUGAACUACCUGCGCUUUGCAGUUAGCAACUACACAAUCAGACAUUU